rnacentral:rRNA from 1 species
UACGGGGGGGGCAAGCGUUGUUCGGAAUUACUGGGCGUAAAGGGCUCGUAGGCGGCCAACUAAGUCAGACGUGAAAUCCCUCAGCUUAACUGGGGAACCGCGUCUGAUACUGGAUGGCUUGAGUUCGGGAGAGGGAUGCGGAAUUCCAGGUGUAGCGGUGAAAUGCGUAGAUAUCUGGAGGAACACCGGUGGCGAAGGCGGCAUCCUGGACCGACACUGACGCUGAUGCGCGAAAGCCAGGGGAGCGAACGGG